CUCGAGAUGGUACUGACGAAUGAUUGUUUUAGG
rnacentral:sRNA from 1 species